UAAAAGAAUUUCAUAAAAGUUAUUUGUAUUACUACUAGUACUACUUACAACACAACGACAAAAUAAAUGAAUACUUUUGUUAACUCGACACAUUCAUUUUAUCUAAAUUAAGGCCAGCAUUUUUACUUAUAGGAAGGAUGAACUUUCCACUUUAAAUGGAUAACACAUUUAACGAAUAAUUAACAGCUCCAAGCUACCGGAACCGAUCGUUCCAUUCAUCCCAAUGCAUUGUUUCGUUCCAAGAGUCUUAUCAAGGAGAACAAUUUCCUCUUUCUAUUCUAACGAAAUCGAAGAAAAUAAAUGUUCUAGAACUUGGAAUCUUUUACACAUCGAAUUUAAAUACAAAUACUUUAGGAAUGGUGGAAAUAAAGGAAAUAACUGUUCCGAUACUAUUGUCUAUUGACAAACAACGAAUUAGGAAAGGAAAGAUAAAUUUGAGAUUAUUUUUUUAAUAUUACCAAAAAUAUAAAACCAAUUCUCGGUGUAUAAAAAUAGUAUUAUUGUAAUACGUGCAUCAAAAUGAAUUACAACUAAUUCAAAUAGUUUAUGAUAAAGAGACUUUUGUAAAUUAUACAAUCUAUUAAUAAAAAUGUAUCAAAAUAUAUUAUAAAAAUAAAUUUCAUUCUUACGGUUCACAUUAUCGGACACAUUGAAUAAUAAAAAUGAUUUAUCGUUCAUAAGAACAGAGACUUCGUUGAUAAAAUAAUUGAAUACAAAACGAGUACAGUUUGAUUGCAUUUAAUUGAUAUUGUUUUUUUUUUUUUUUUUUACUUCGAU